UGAGGUAUAGCUCAGUGGUAGAGUGAAUGCUUAGCAUACAUGAGGUCUUGGGUUCAGUCCUCAGUACCUCCA
rnacentral:tRNA from 1 species